AAAAUAUGUCUUUUAUUUAUUUUUAUUUUUUUUUCCUUUCCUCUCUUCUUCUCCGCCGGAGACGAGACGCAGCUCUUCCACUUCCAAGCGUCUAUGUUCUUCUUCCUCAUCCUCUGAACCGUCUUCUUCGUCUCGAAGCCCCACCAAGCAAUCUAAGGUCAAGAUCGAUGCCGCUAUUGAAUCUGUACGUUAAAUCCGAUUGAGAAUCAAGGACCGGUUUCAGAUUCAGGAUCAGAAUCUGGAGAGCUGGAGCUUGGAUCCUCUGAUCCGUAAAAGCCUGUUGCAACCACUAUGUAUAAAUUGCUAUAUCCUCUAUGUUAAGUGACCAAAGUUCAAUCACUUGAUGCAGAGAGAAUGUGAUCAGAGUCCAAACGAGGUUAGCUUUUUCAUUGACAAGAGUAAGGUUCAAGAAGUGAAAAAGGACAAGCCCUUGCUUAUCUCCUGAAGAAGCUCAACACUGAAGGGAAGCUUCCUCUUAAUGAAAAGUAGGUUUGUAUUGUAUCAGUUUAUUGAUAUGCUUUGAUUUGCUUCCGCUGGUGAACUUUGUCUCUAUCAUGGAUCAUCUAACUACAUGGAGAAAGAGUUCCCUUUACAGGAAUACUAAGUGAUAAAGCUCAAAAAAAUCCAGACCUUUUCAAUUGGAAUAGACUUAAGCUUCGUUACUGUGAUGGUGCUUCUUUCAGGGGAGAUGGUCAGAAUGAGAACUGAUGUGUCUGGUGGACGAACAAUCAGGAACUUAUACAAUGGUAUAGUAGAGUUUCAGAGUGUGAAAACAACCUGCCUCGUCUGUGCACAAACCAUCUUGAUCCAACUUCGUGUUUCUUCCCAGAGAAUCUGAUCAGUCAGAUGAAAACUCAACUUUUCAUUGUCAACGCUGCAUAUGAUACAUGGCAGAUAUAAAGCAGCAUAGCUCCAACAUCAGCACAUCCUAGUGGGUUUUGGCAUGACUUUAUGGUCUUAGGUUUAAGUUUUUUUUUCUGGUUUUAGUUUUGUAAACCAAUUUUAAUUUAUAAAUAAAAUUAAUUUUAAAUUUUAA